GACGAACGCUGGCUGCGUGCUUAACACAUGCAAGUCGAACGGUGACGGCAUCUGCUUUUGUGUUCCCUGGGUGAUUGGCGGACGGGUGAGUAACACGUGCGUAACCUGCCCCCUUCUUCUGGAUAACCGCCUUUACGUAUGUCUAAUUCGUGCUCUUCUGUGUCUGUCGCAUGCUUGGUCUGGGGAUUAUUGCGCCUUUGGUUGUUUUUGGUGGUGGAUGGGCUCGCGUCCGAUCAGCUUGUUGGUGGGGUGAUGGCCUACCAAGGCGGUGACGGGUAGCCGGUCUGAGAGGGUGGACGGUCACACUGGGACUGAGACACGGCCCAGACUCCUACGGGAGGCAGCAGUGGGGAAUAUUGCACAAUGGGCGAAAGCCUGAUGCAGCGACGCCGCGUGAGGGAUGGAGGCCUUCGGGGUGUAAAACUCUUUCGCUAGGGAAGCAGGGCGGCUCUUUGUGGGUGGGUUGAAGGUAGCUUGAUAAGAAGCGCCGGCUAACUACGUG
rnacentral:rRNA from 1 species